GACGAACCGUGCAAACGUUGUUCGGAAUCACUGGGCUUAAAGGGCGCGUAGGCGGCUCAUCAAGUCGGGGGGUGAAAUACUUCAGCUUAACUGGAGAAGUGCCUUCGAUACUGGUGGGCUUGAGGGAGGUAGGGGUCUUUGGAACUUCUGGUGGAGCGGUGAAAUGCGCAGAUAUCAGGAGGAACACCGAUGGCGAAGGCAGGUCUCUGGGCAUUAACUGACGCUGAGGAGCGAAAGCAUGGGGAGCGAACAGGG
rnacentral:rRNA from 1 species